UACAGAGGUCCCAAGCGUUGUUCGGAUUUAUUGGGCGUAAAGAGCUCGUAGGCGGCUUGUCACGUCUGCUGUGAAAACUCGGGGCUCAACCCCGAGCCUGCAGUGGAUACGGGCUAGCUAGAGUGCGGUAGGGGAGACUGGAAUUCCUGGUGUAGCGGUGAAAUGCGCAGAUAUCAGGAGGAACACCGGUGGCGAAGGCGGGUCUCUGGACCGAUACUGACGCUGAGGAGCGAAAGCGUGGGGAGCGAACAGG
rnacentral:rRNA from 1 species